UGGAGUGCGCGUCUAUACAUGCAGUCGAGCGGACAGAUGGGAGCUUGCUCCCUGAUGUUAGCGGCGGACGGGUGAGUAACACGUGGGUAACCUGCCUGUAAGACUGGGAUAACUCCGGGAAACCGGGGCUAAUACCGGAUGGUUGUUUGAACCGCAUGGUUCAAACAUAAAAGGUGGCUUCGGCUACCACUUACAGAUGGACCCGCGGCGCAUUAGCUAGUUGGUGAGGUAAUGGCUCACCAAGGCAACGAUGCGUAGCCGACCUGAGAGGGUGAUCGGCCACACUGGGACUGAGACACGGCCCAGACUCCUACGGGAGGCAGCAGUAGGGAAUCUUCCGCAAUGGACGAAAGUCUGACGGAGCAACGCCGCGUGAGUGAUGAAGGUUUUCGGAUCGUAAAGCUCUGUUGUUAGGGAAGAACAAGUACCGUUCGAAUAGGGCGGUACCUUGACGGUACCUAACCAGAAAGCCACGGCUAACUACGUGCCAGCAGCCGCGGUAAUACGUAGGUGGCAAGCGUUGUCCGGAAUUAUUGGGCGUAAAGGGCUCGCAGGCGGUUUCUUAAGUCUGAUGUGAAAGCCCCCGGCUCAACCGGGGAGGGUCAUUGGAAACUGGGGAACUUGAGUGCAGAAGAGGAGAGUGGAAUUCCACGUGUAGCGGUGAAAUGCGUAGAGAUGUGGAGGAACACCAGUGGCGAAGGCGACUCUCUGGUCUGUAACUGACGCUGAGGAGCGAAAGCGUGGGGAGCGAACAGGAUUAGAUACCCUGGUAGUCCACGCCGUAAACGAUGAGUGCUAAGUGUUAUGGGGUUUCCGCCCCUUAGUGCUGCAGCUAACGCAUUAAGCACUCCGCCUGGGGAGUACGGUCGCAAGACUGAAACUCAAAGGAAUUGACGGGGCCCGCACAGCGGUGGAGCAUGUGGUUUAUUCGAAGCAACGCGAAGAACCUUACCAGUCUGACAUCCUUCUGACAAUCUAGAGAUAGGACGUCCCUUCGGGCAGAUGACAGUGUGCAUGUGUCGUCAGCUCGUGUCUGAAAUGUGGGUAAGUCACGCACAGCCCCACCCUGACCUAGUGUCAGCAAUCAGUUGGUAU
rnacentral:rRNA from 1 species